rnacentral:rRNA from 2 species
CGCCCUUCUUCGGACGGGUGAGUAACGCGUGAGACGUUACCUUAGCACUGGUGCACCAGUUGGAAACGACUGCUAUACCCAAUGUGCCGAAAGGUGAAAGAUUUAUCGUCUGAAGAUGGGCUCGCGUCUGAUUAGCUAGAUGGUGGGGUAAGAGCCUACCAUGGCAACGAUCAGUAGCUGGUCUGAGAGGAUGAGCAGCCACACUGGGACUGAGACACGGCCCAGACUCCUACGGGAGGCAGCAGUGGGGAAUUUUCCGCAAUGGGCGAAAGCCUGACGGAGCAAUACCGCGUGAGGGAGGAAGGUCCUUGGAUUGUAAACCUCUUUUAUCAGGGAAGAAGUUCUGACGGUACCUGAUGAAUAAGCAUCGGCUAACUCCGUGCCAGCAGCCGCGGUAAUACGGAGGAUGCAAGCGUUAUCCGGAAUUAUUGGGCGUAAAGCGUCCGUAGGUGGUUAUGCAAGUCUGCCGUUAAAGAAUGGAGCUUAACUCCAUAGGAGCGGUGGAAACUGCAAGACUAGAGUACAGUAGGGGUAGCAGGAAUUCCCAGUGUAGCGGUGAAAUGCGUAGAUAUUGGGAAGAACAUCGGUGGCGAAAGCGUGCUACUGGGCUGAAACUGACACUGAGGGACGAAAGCUAGGGUAGCGAAAGGGAUUAGAUACCCCCUGUAGUCAAAAAGUUAAUUCC